rnacentral:lncRNA from 1 species
CUGUCACACACCCUACAUGAGGGUGAAGGACUGGACGGGCUGCGGCCGGCUUUGCUUUGAGGGCCGCUGCACCGCACAGGAUCUGGAGUGCACAGGAGUUGUGGGGUUGCCAGGCCUGGGCGUCCCUCCAUUAUUUAGCGAUGAGUCUCACAUAGCCCAGAUUACCCUCAGAUUCACUGUGGAGCUGAGGACGAUCUUGAAAUCCCGAUUCUCCUGCCUCCAGCCUGUAAGUGAGCACAGAGAAGCACCCCCACCUCUGCACGAUGCACAGUUUAAACGGCAGCCAUAGGCCCGAUGUCAACGGGUAUUUUGGAUAUCCAUUUGACAUGAGGUCCAUGAAAUCACUUUGUUUUGUG